AUUCUAGAGUUUUGCAAUAUUUUCAAAUAAAACUUAGAGUUUCCUAACACAUAAACAAUAAAGAUGCAACUACCAAUGCAGUUACGAAAAAUAAAUAUACUUAAAGGAAAAUGCAGAAAAAUACCAAGUUACCUCUUGGCGUGGCGUUCGGUGAUUUUAAGUCCUCCGAACAGGACCUCUUACCAUGUUAAUUCUUAGGUGCUUUUUCUGGUCCCAAAGGUGGAGACCAUGAGAGUUGCACCUCUUGAGAUGGUGUCACCUAUGUUUAUUGCUUCUCCAAUGGGUUGAAGUUAAGCACUAGUUCUAGGAGCUAGCAACAUCUUCGCUCAGUGUGCAUGUUCAUAGGUCUAGUAUCUUCGCUCGGGGUAGAUAUUGAACUAUUCUGACUCACGACUCACCCAUUUUACCUUUCACCAUAGGGCUUAUAGCUAUCACUUUGGUCUUGGGUAGUUGAAAGAUAGAACAGUUUAGUCGAGCACUAUGCUACCCGCUCUUUGAUCAACUAUUAUUCUAGAGUUUUGCAAGAUUUUCAAAUAAAACUUAGAGUUUCCUUGUAUGACACUUUCCAGUCUCUCAUAUGUGGUAUUCUUUUAUCCUCUCCAAGGCAAGUGAGUAUGCCUUCUCUCUGCUCUCAGAAUAUGUGGUAUUUGUAUCACUAAGACAUAGUUGCCUUCUCUCUCUCACCCUGCUUCUAAUUGGCUUAUGUGGAGCUCGUAGGUCGGAAAGACAAUUCAAACCUACUUGCAUGUAUUGCAUAAUUAAACCAUGGAUCUAGAGAAACUAAUUAUACAAUCAAGUCACAUGUGCAUGUGAGUGUAGUGAAUGAUAAGAAUGAAAGUAGUAAUGAGGGGUGAUAACUGAUGGCGAAUAUCUUAUUCUACAAUUGCACCUUGGGGAUAACAUACUUCCUUAAUCUGAGAACAAGGAUUUGGUUCUCUUUCUUUUCUUUUGCAUUGGGACUUUUGUCCUCUUUCUUUCUUUUUCUUUUUUUCUCUUUUUUCCUCUUUUUUGAAAGAUCAGCCAUCCCUUUUAAUUCAAUGAUAAUAGUAGGGAGUAUCAAAUGGGAUAACUAGGGCUUUAUUGGAUAAGUAGAAUAAGACAUUGAAUAUUUUUGGGUGUCUUCUCCCAGUGUAGGAGUAGAACAUUUUCUAUGUGAAUGUGGAUUGUGUGUGGGUGAAUGAAGGAAUGCGUACUCCUAGGGUAGGAGCAGCGUAGGUGUGUCUCCAAGAUAGAAACAACAUAGAGUGUAGUGCGUAUAUGUGGGUGGUACUUCUAGGAACAGAAGUAGCACAUAGUGAAUGUGGUGGAUGAAAGUGGUUGCAUACUUCUGAGGACAGAAGUAGCUAAGACCAAUAGAUGAAGAGCACAUAAUAAUGACUUCAACCGCAUGACUAAUCCCAUAGGGUCUACACAGCUUAACUACUCUCAAUGCUUAUAGGUUGAAAUAUAAGUGGAGGUUUUCCUAAUCUAGAAAGCAUGAGUAAUUUGCUAUGGUGGGAAUUUUAGAACUCUUGUCAUAAAGGAACUCAUAAUGUAGCAAUUUAAGAUUUUCAAAAUAAAAUUCUCUAGAAUUCUAGCAUCUCUAGGAGCAAGAUUGAUAGCAGCUCAGAACCUUCACAUAUCAUAUCCGUCAACUAUCUAGACUUAGAACAAUCAUUUGCUACCCACAGGUUUUAGGCUUAUAGAAAAUCUUAAGUCUAAACAGUUAAGCCUAAAACUCAAGAGAGUACAAGAUUGAAAACAAGGUACUUGUAAGGAAUUACGGCAGAGCAACUAUUCAUCAUCUCCAUAUAAGAGUUAAUUCUAGAGGUUCAUCUUAACAGAUUCAUAAAGAGAUCUCCUAGCAAGAUUAAUUAUGAAAGAUAAAACAUUUACUGGGUUUCUAAGUUUAUUCAUCUUUUUAUCUUGUCAUAAUGCACUAGGAAUAAAUAGAUAAGUGAGUAAGGGAUACUUAGCUCGGUGUACGGGGGUUGCUCUCCCCAAGCUGGAUGUGAUAUUGCAGACGGGCAGUGAAGACAUACUCGUCCUCCUAGAGUAUCGUAGGUACUUGCUAUCAGAAACAACACUUGCCUCAUGCGAACAGUACUCCGACAGGGCACAAGACGUCCUUCUGCCUGUUAGUUCUUUUUGAUCCUUUGAAGCCUAUGAAGCACAAAUAGACAACAAAACUUGUGGAACUAAUUAAGCGUUAGUAAUAAACCUCUAAGCUUUGGGAGUCUAGAACUUUCUUAUACCCAUUUAUAUUUUAGGAAGAUCAAUAUAUUUUAUUUAUUUAUUAUAGUAU
rnacentral:lncRNA from 1 species